CAUCAAGUGCUGACUCAGCCCGUCUUGCUGCUUCUCUCUCUGUGAGGACUUCUUUCCUGGGGUGGAUGAAGCAAAACCAAGGCAUUGUUUUAUGUCAUCCUAAAGACUCCAGCAUGUAUCUUUAGCAGUGAAUGUAUUUCUCUUCCCGUGACCACAUGCAACUGAGGAUUUAUCCCCAAUCAACAAAUGAGAAGUUCUGAGCCAGAAACCUGAGUCCGUGCUGGUCCUCCACCUGGGGCACUCCGGCCACCCGCUGGCCCGGACAUCUGGGGACCCAUGUCAUCCCGCUCUGCCCAUACCUGCUGGAAGCCGGGGCCGCAUGUUUCUCCCUGUCACCAAAGAAUUAAAGACAACAUCUCGGACGGUCUCUGUACAUGGAGAAAUGAGAAUGUAUUCGCAGACAAAGCGUGACCUGAGGGAGAAGCCUGCCGGAAUCUGGAUUUUCAAUAACAUAAGACAAUAAAGCUUAGACUUCUAACCUGCUGCAAUAUGGUCAGAGUAUAAAGAGCUUAGCUCCUAAUAAAAGGGCAGGGCUUCCCCUCAUAUCUGAAGAUCCGGACCCCCCAGAAGGACACUUCAUAAAGAUCGUAACGGGUUAGCCUGGAUCACACAGACACGAGGCCUUGUUGACCGAUUGUCUGACAGUUGUCACCUAUGGAUCUGAUAUUAAUAAGUCCCGUGUUGAUUUCCUCGGGGUAUUUUUGUCCCUGUAAUUGCACA